UACGUAGGGUGCGAGCGUUAAUCGGAAUUACUGGGCGUAAAGCGUGCGCAGGCGGUUUUGUAAGCCAGAUGUGAAAGCCCCGGGCUUAACCUGGGAAUGGCCUUUGUGACUGCACGGUUAGAGUGUGUCAGAGGGGGGUAGAAUUCCACGUGUAGCAGUGAAAUGCGUAGAGAUGUGGAGGAAUACCGAUGGCGAAGGCGGCCCCCUGGGAUAACACUGACGCUCAGGCACGAAAGCGUGGGGAGCAAACGAGGAUUA
rnacentral:rRNA from 1 species